GAUGAACGCUGGCGGCGUGCCUAAUACAUGCAAGUCGAGCGAACGGACGAGAAGCUUGCUUCUCUGAUGUUAGCGGCGGACGGGUGAGUAACACGUGGAUAGCCUACCUAUAAGACUGGGAUAACUUCGGGAAACCGGAGCUAAUACCGGAUAAUAUUUUGAACCGCAUGGUUCAAAAGUGAAAGACGGUCUUGGUGUCACUUAUAGAUGGAUCCGCGCUGCAUUAGCUAGUUGGUAAGGUAACGGCUUACCAAGGCAACGAUGCAUAGCCGACCUGAGAGGGUGAUCGGCCACACUGGAACUGAGACACGGUCCAGACUCCUACGGGAGGCAGCAGUAGGGAAUCUUCCGCAAUGGGCGAAAGCCUGACGGAGCAACGCCGCGUGAGUGAUGAAGGUCUUCGGAUCGUAAAACUCUGUUAUUAGGGAAGAACAUAUGUGUAAGUAACUGUGCACAUCUUGACGGUACCUAAUCAGAAAGCCACGGCUAACUACGUG
rnacentral:rRNA from 1 species